rnacentral:lncRNA from 1 species
AAGUAUAAAGAGAAUUGGCAAGAAGAAAAUGUUUUUUUGGGAAUAGACAUGAAAUUGCCAUGGCCUAAAAAUAUUCGUGGGUUGUCGUGGCCUAAAAAAUUUCAAUGUUCCGCCAAAAUAGAAGAGCCAAAAUAUUUCGCGUAAAAUAAAUUUUUCUGGACUUUUAGCCCAAUCUCUAGUAACCAUUCUUGAUAGGUUUUUUCUUAUUAGUUCUACUUGAAAGAGCCAUUCGUCUGCAGCCUCCUUGUUUUGUCCUGUUGCUGCUGAUUGGAGAAGAACCGGUAAGAACUCUCUCUUCAAUUUCUUUACUGAUUGCUUCUCCAUUAAAUUAUUGAAUUAUCAAUUUUUGUGGUUGUAAGUACUUAAUUGGGUAUGAGUAUCUUAAUUUCUUCUAUGUUAGAUUAGGAUUUGAACUAUUUCUUCUCUAAUUUCUUAUGCUUCAAAAGCAAUUAUGCAUAAUUUUUUCUUUUAUUAUUGUUCAGUUUCUUGUUCUUUUUUUAAUCAUCGUAAACGAAGCUCUUCUGGUGCUGGUGGGGGCUGUGGUACGUAGGGGUAGUUCAAGUUGGGGUGGGAAGAGCGUGACUAUGACAUCCUACCAAGUUCCACCUUUAGCAAUUAUUGAUCCCUCUAGAUUUGCGGUUGAAUUAGCCUAUUCCCCUGUUGUUUCAAUGGCUACUGCAAUUGUUACUGCUACUGGUGGCAGUGGUGAUUAUAUGACAGGCAGUGAUGGUUGUACUGCUGAAAAUUGGAAUUGAAUGUUGCUGUUGUUUUUCAGUGGCUUUGGAUUGCCUCGAUUUUAUAUUUGACUCAUGCUGACCUUGUUGUACAUCCUCCAAAUAUCUUCCAGAACUUGUUCAUUCAUCAAAGCCUCAUACGAGUUAGAAACAGUAAUAUUUUAUGCUGUAGUGGACUGAGUUUUGUGAAUUGAAACAUUGUUCUUGCUAGGUGAGGACUGUGUUCGAUUUACUACUUCCCAGUCUAUUAUUUUUGAUUGAUUUCGAUAUUUGAAGAUAUGUUGUUGAACUUGAUGCAUUUUCAAUUAAAUCAGCAUAUUCAACAGUAGGAUUCACAUCCCCACAGCAGCUCAAUUUGUCUUCAAUGUAACUGCAACCCAUUAAUUUGAACAUAUAGUAGAUCCCGUUCUUCUUUAACAAGAUCUCCCUUGUCAAUUUCAUGUCCUUCCCUGUUAGCAUCGGUAGCUUUAGAAGAUAAUUUAAUAACUUGUUGAUCCUUAUCUUUUUCUUGGUCAUUAGACGUUUGCUUAACACCUGGAAUAUCUGAUCCAAUAUCAAUAACAACAUCUAGACAAUCUGGUUGUACAGCUAAUUCAACUUUGACAUAUGUAUGAAACUCUUUGUUAUCACCUGUACCAGUCACAUUACGAAAAGUAUCAAAUCUUUUAAUUUGUAGCAUAUCAACAUGCUUAGCAGUAUCCUUCACAGUUGUUGCAUUAUGCAUUACUGGACCAUCAACAUUUAUAAGAGCUCUAAGUGCAGAAAAUAAAUCAAGAUAUGGAAUAAUGCACCAGAUUCACUGAAGUUGUAAAAUAGGUUAAAGUUGACAUAUGAACUGCAUCUCAGAUUAUAGAAGUAUCAGGGCCAAGAGAUAGAGGUCACACAGAAAUGUAGGGAAGAAAUAUGCAUGGUUGUGUGUGACCAGGAUUAUAUAAUGAUUUAUAUAAUUUCUUUUUUGGCUGUGGAAAAAGAAAAAAGGACAAAAUGAUAACCAUACCAAAUAGUUUGAAAUAAGCAUAAAAUCAAGAGUGCUUUCAGGUAUGACGCACUUUACCUUUGCAUAUAAUCUAGAUUGUGGAUGAUUUUUCUUUCUCCUAGUCGUGCAUUAGUAAUCUGAUAUUUCCAAUCAUGUUUUUCUGCGAGUGCUUUUGAGGUUGAUGUUGUGUUUCCACAAGCUCUUUUUAGGUUGAUGGUUCCUGUUAAUAAGCUUCCACUAGUUUCAUUUGCACUUUUGUACUUUAUUGCUUCUUUUUAUCAAAAUGUUAUUAUAUUUAUUUUAUUUUUAGGAUGAGCAUGCGUAAUUAAACAAUCCUCACAUCCGGUUCAUCAAAUGCCCAAGUUGUUGGAAGAAGAUUUAUUAUUUGGGUUACUAUUAGAAUAGUACUUAAGGACCUUGGAAGAUUUAUUUUUUGAGUUACUAUUAGAAUAGAACUUAAGGACCUUGGAUAUAUGAUGUUUUUACUCGUUUUGUAAGUAAAAAUAUACUUUUAGGAUUAUUUAGUUUUUGGAAUAUAGUAUAUCUACUUCAUAAAUUUUCAGUGUAGAAAGUUUAUUUAUAUCUAUUUGAAAUAAAAUUAUAAUUGCUACUUGUAUUUGGGAAAAUUUAAAGAAUAUAUGAAUUGUGUAUUAAGUAACAACAUAUAAAUUGUUGCCAAAGUAGUACUAGAGAAUCUGUUGGCAAAAUGUUAUUAUUGCCACAAUAACAGUUGUUUCUAAAAGUAUUGAUAACAGAUUAUUAACUUUACCGCCAAUUUGUUUUUAGCAACAUUGAUAUUGCUGGCAAAAAACUAAUGUUGUCGCAACAAUAAUUUUUUAUUGCUGCAUGUCUUCAUA